rnacentral:rRNA from 1 species
AGAGUUUGAUCCUGGCUCAGGAUGAACGCUAGCUACAGGCUUAACACAUGCAAGUCGAGGGGCAGCAUCAUCAAAGCUUGCUUUGAUGGAUGGCGACCGGCGCACGGGUGAGUAACACGUAUCCAACCUGCCGACAACACUGGGAUAGCCUUUCGAAAGAAAGAUUAAUACCGGAUGGCAUAAUUAUUCCGCAUGGGAUAAUUAUUAAAGAAUUUCGGUUGUCGAUGGGGAUGCGUUCCAUUAGGCAGUUGGCGGGGUAACGGCCCACCAAACCAACGAUGGAUAGGGGUUCUGAGAGGAAGGUCCCCCACAUUGGAACUGAGACACGGUCCAAACUCCUACGGGAGGCAGCAGUGAGGAAUAUUGGUCAAUGGACGAGAGUCUGAACCAGCCAAGUAGCGUGAAGGAUGACUGCCCUAUGGGUUGUAAACUUCUUUUAUAAAGGAAUAAAGUCGGGUAUGCAUACCCGUUUGCAUGUACUUUAUGAAUAAGGAUCGGCUAACUCCGUGCCAGCAGCCGCGGUAAUACGGAGGAUCCGAGCGUUAUCCGGAUUUAUUGGGUUUAAAGGGAGCGUAGGCGGGUUGUUAAGUCAGUUGUGAAAGUUUGCGGCUCAACCGUAAAAUUGCAGUUGAUACUGGCGACCUUGAGUGCAACAGAGGUAGGCGGAAUUCGUGGUGUAGCGGUGAAAUGCUUAGAUAUCACGAAGAACUCCGAUUGCGAAGGCAGCUUACUGGACUGUAACUGACGCUGAUGCUCGAAAGUGUGGGUAUCAAACAGGAUUAGAUACCCUGGUAGUCCACACAGUAAACGAUGAAUACUCGCUGUUUGCGAUAUACAGUAAGCGGCCAAGCGAAAGCGUUAAGUAUUCCACCUGGGGAGUACGCCGGCAACGGU